rnacentral:rRNA from 1 species
UCGACGGCAGCACAGAGGAGCUUGCUCCUUGGGUGGCGAGUGGCGGACGGGUGAGUAAUGCAUCGGGAUCUACCCUGACGUGGGGGAUAACCUCGGGAAACCGGGACUAAUACCGCAUACGUCCUACGGGAGAAAGCGGGGGACCUUCGGGCCUCGCGCGGCAGGACGAACCGAUGUGCGAUUAGCUAGUUGGCGGGGUAAUGGCCCACCAAGGCGACGAUCGCUAGCUGGUCUGAGAGGAUGAUCAGCCACACUGGGACUGAGACACGGCCCAGACUCCUACGGGAGGCAGCAGUGGGGAAUAUUGGACAAUGGGCGCAAGCCUGAUCCAGCAAUGCCGCGUGUGUGAAGAAGGCCUUCGGGUUGUAAAGCACUUUUAUCAGGAGCGAAAUACCACGGGUUAAUACCCUAUGGGGCUGACGGUACCUGAGGAAUAAGCACCGGCUAACUUCGUGCCAGCAGCCGCGGUAAUACGAAGGGUGCAAGCGUUAAUCGGAAUUACUGGGCGUAAAGGGUGCGUAGGCGGUUACUUAAGUCUGUCGUGAAAUCCCCGGGCUCAACCUGGGAAUGGCGAUGGAUACUGGGUGGCUAGAGUGUGUCAGAGGAUGGUGGAAUUCCCGGUGUAGCGGUGAAAUGCGUAGAGAUCGGGAGGAACAUCAGUGGCGAAGGCGGCCAUCUGGGACAACACUGACGCUGAAGCACGAAAGCGUGGGGAGCAAACAGGAUUAGAUACCCUGGUAGUCCACGCCCUAAACGAUGCGAACUGGAUGUUGGUCUCAACUCGGAGAUCAGUGUCGAAGCUAACGCGUUAAGUUC